UAGGGAAUCUUCCGCAAUGGACGCAAGUCUGACGGAGCAACGCCGCGUGAGUGAAGAAGGAUUUCGGUUCGUAAAACUCUGUUGUUAGAGAAGAACAGCGCAUAGAGUAACUGUUAUGCGUGUGACGGUAUCUAACCAGAAAGCCACGGCUAACUACGUGCCAGCAGCCGCGGUAAUACGUAGGUGGCAAGCGUUGUCCGGAUUUAUUGGGCGUAAAGCGAGCGCAGGCGGUCAAUUAAGUCUGAUGUGAAAGCCCCCGGCUCAACCGGGGAGGGUCAUUGGAAACUGGUUGACUUGAGGGCAGAAGAGGAGGGUGGAAUUCCAUGUGUAGCGGUGAAAUGCGUAGAUAUAUGGAGGAACACCAGUGGCGAAGGCGACUCUCUGGUCUGUAACUGACGCUGAGGUUCGAAAGCGUGGGUAGCAAACAGG
rnacentral:rRNA from 1 species